GUGAGGAAUAUUGGUCAAUGGGCGGGAGCCUGAACCAGCCAAGUCGCGUGAAGGAAGAAGGAUCUAUGGUUCGUAAACUUCUUUUGCAGGGGAAUAAAGUGCGGGACGUGUCCUGUUUUGUAUGUACCCUGAGAAUAAGGAUCGGCUAACUCCGUGCCAGCAGCCGCGGUAAUACGGAGGAUCCGAGCGUUAUCCGGAUUUAUUGGGUUUAAAGGGUGCGUAGGUGGUUCGAUAAGUCAGCGGUGAAAGUUUGCAGCUUAACUGUAAAAAUGCCGUUGAAACUGUCGGACUUGAGUGUAAAUGAGGUAGGCGGAAUGCGUGGUGUAGCGGUGAAAUGCAUAGAUAUCACGCAGAACUCCGAUUGCGAAGGCAGCUUACUAAGCUACAACUGACACUGAAGCACGAAAGCGUGGGGAUCAAACAGGAUUAGAAACCCUUGUAGUCC
rnacentral:rRNA from 1 species